AGAGCUGCUCUGUGCCCACACA
rnacentral:miRNA from 1 species